ACUCCUACGGGAGGCAGCAGUAAGGAAUAUUGCGCAAUGGGCGACAGCCUGACGCAGCGACGCCGCGUGGGGGAUGAAGGUCUUCGGAUUGUAAACCCCUUUCGGGAGGGAAGAUGGGGCAGGUAACUGCUCGGACGGUACCUCCAGAAGCAGCCACGGCCAACUUCGUGCCAGCAGCCGCGGUAAUACGAAGGUGGCAAGCGUUGUUCGGAUUCACUGGGCGUACAGGGUGUGUAGGCGGUUUGGUAAGCCUUCUGUUAAAUCUUCGGGCCCAACCCGGAAAGCGCAGAGGGGACUGCCAGGCUAGAGGGCGGGAGAGGAGCGCGGAAUUCCCG
rnacentral:rRNA from 1 species